GCCGGGUGCAGUGGUACACACCUGUAUUCCCAGCGGCUAAGGAGGCUGAGGUAGGAGGAUCGCAAGUUCAAAGCUAGCCUCAGCAAUGGCAAGAUGCUAAGCAACUCAGUGAGAUCCUGUCUCUA
rnacentral:sRNA from 1 species